AAGCACUGUUCGUAUGGGACAUGUAAAUCGGAUAGCAGGUAUCCAGAGAAACUUAUGGGAGCAAAAUUCAUCCCAUUUCCGAAGCCAAAGUCUGAUUUGGAGAAAUGUUUACGAUGGAUAUCAUGCUGUCGAAGACCACAUGCCCAGCUUAACGUUGACAAAUUUACGAAGCAUACAUAUGUGUGUUCUAAGCAUUUCAUUUCAUUGGAUGGCCCUUCAGAUGAAUACCCAGAUCCUUGUGAUGCCCAGACUGGUGAACUGCACAGAGCAAGGCGAAAGAUCAUAUACUUGUCUCAACAGUCAGAAUCAGAUGAUUUAAACAGCAAGACCAGUAGUACCAGUACUGAUGAUUCACCAGACUCUCAUGCAAUGGAAUGCUGUUUAACAACACAGACAACUUCAAAUCCUGUCAUAGAUUCCUCAUGCCAAACAGAAGAAGAAUGUAUGUAUAUUUUUCAAUAUCAGAUUCUGCUUCUGUGAUUUAGCUGGUUCCUUUUUAUUAAUUGAACACAGUAACACACUUUCAUUUGUGAAAUAAUUCAUUUCAUAGCUGUAAAGUAACAUUUGAUGACUUAAAACUAUGCAGCAGGAAUAUUGUUCAAUAUUCUUGGUCUGUAUUGAAGAUAAAAAUUAGCAAGCUUAUCAAACAUUUCUGUAAUGAAGUCAACAUUUUUGGUUAUUUUUUCCACAAAUAAAUCUUUUCUUGUGUACACAACAAAUAUGCAGAAAGAAACACCUGUCACCAUUAAUUGUCCCUGAAUUUGGAAAUAAUAAUCAUGAUUCUUUUUCAAUGUAUAUGAGUCUCCUAAUAUCUCAAGACAAAACUUUGGUAAGUUCACUGCCUCUGCGAUGAGUAAAUCUCUAGCUGAAAAGGGACAUUUUAUUUCCAAUACCCCAGUCUGUCCUUCUAUACAAACUUUACCAUCAGGCGAGGCAGCAAGAAAUGAAAAUCUUGGAUUUACUACUAAUCCACAGUCAUGAAUAUGUACAUUGUGGAAUUUUUCCAUAUAUUUCUGUUUAGCUAUGUUUUCAUUACAUUUGCCGUAGGAAGUUGCUUCAGUAGUAAAAUUUUUACUUUCAAAUAUGCUAGAAACAAAAGUGUCGGUGAUAUCUUUUUUCCUUUUACAUAUUCUUGCAAACUGGGAAGCAGUCACACGUUUCUUCCGCUCCUCAUACCACAAAGCAUUUCCAGAUUGAUCCACGGUUAAUCUUUCUAACUUCUCGGCGUCAUCUUGUGUCAUGUUAAAAGCUUCAUUGAGUUGUUGAAAUUUAGAAUUGAUUAAUGGCACAUCAGUGUCUAGAGGAAAUGUAGUAUUUCCACAAGCCCCAUGUACAAUGGUCGGAAAAGAUUUGUAGUUUUUCAACUGAAAAUUUACAGAUAAUAUAAGUAUAAUUAACAUCUUUAAUAUGUACAUAGGCUAAUACAUGGUACAUGUAACUACAAAAAUUAUUGAUAACAGAAAACUGUGAGAAUAAAGUUAACUACAUAUUUAUAUAUACCAUAUAUACUUAACGGUAUGCAAACUCUUGUAAGUAAGUAAUGUAAUUAUGUAUGCAUGUAAUUUUAUCGGUAUUGUUUCUGAUUAUAUAAUUUUAUUUAUUUUGAUGUUAAUUACAGUACACUUAUUAAUGAACUAUUUUAUUUACUAUUUCAGUAUUUUCAUCUAUGGAUGUGCUUUCAUGGGUUGCACAAGUUAGAAAACUGGAGGAAGAAAAUGACAGGUUGCGACAGGAAAUCAGACAGAGAGGGAAAGUUUCUGAUGCUGCUUGCCAAACAGAGAGAGAUACACAUUUCACUGCUGAAGAAGUUUCAAAGUCAAAGAUCAAAAACUUGUUUGAAUUUUACACUGGAUUAAGUUAUAGUAGAUUUCUCAUGCUUCUUGUGUUUCUCUUUCCAAGUUGUGAAAAUCCAAUCAUUUAUGAAGACAAAAGAAAAGAAACACGUAUUGACAAGUUUCCUUUGUCACAGCAGUUGUUUAUGUACCUGUGCAGACUAAGAAAUGCUUUAAAUGUGAAAGAUUUAGCAUUCAGAUUCAAUAUUAAGGUUCAAACUGUGUCAACAGUAAUUAAUGGGGUAGCGAAGUACAUGUAUUUGAGAUUAGGUUCCUUAAGUUAUUGGCCCCAUCGAAAUACAAUCAUAGGAAUCAUGCCAGAAUCUUACAAACAUGAUUUUCCAAACUGUUUAGCUAUUCUUGACUGUACCGAGCUAAAAACUGAAAAACCUUCAUCAUUGAAACAACAAAGUCAGUGCUAUUCAGACUACAAAUCAUCCAAUACAUUAAAAGCUCUUGUUGUUUGUGACCCAAGAGGGUCAAUUUUAUUUGUUUCGGAUUUAUUUUCUGGAAGUAUUUCUGACAAUGAUAUCAUUGAACAAUGUGGUUUUUAUGAUUAUUUAAAACAUUUGAAAGAAAUGGAGUUUAUUGCGUAUAAUGAUGCCUUAAUGGCUGACAAAGGGUUUCUAAUUGAAAAAGAGUUGGCACUUUUAGAUUUGCAGUUGAAUAUUCCACCCCUUGCAUCUAGUGCUAGGCCAUUUAGUGAAAGCGAUGUUAACCUCACCAGAAAAAUAGCUACUCAUAGAAUACACAUUGAACGUGCCAUCAAUCAAAUAAAGUGUUUUAAAUUAUUGAAAAGAAAAAUUCCUGUGAGCAUGUUUAAUUGUAUUAAUGCACAUUGGUUUGUAGCUGCGAUGUUGACAAAUUUCCAAGAUACUUUAGUAAAGUUUUGAAAAUG
rnacentral:misc_RNA from 1 species